rnacentral:rRNA from 1 species
CAGCCCCUCAAGGCCCACAAGGUGUAGCCGGCCUGAGAGGGCGACCGGCCACACUGGGACUGAGACACGGCCCAGACUCCUACGGGAGGCAGCAGUGGGGAAUAUUGCACAAUGGGCGAAAGCCUGAUGCAGCGACGCCGCGUGAGGGAUGACGGCCUUCGGGUUGUAAACCUCUUUCAGCAGGGAAGAAGCGAAAGUGACGGUACCUGCAGAAGAAGCGCCGGCUAACUACGUGCCAGCAGCCGCGGUAAUACGUAGGGCGCAAGCGUUGUCCGGAAUUAUUGGGCGUAAAGAGCUCGUAGGCGGCCUGUCACGUCGGAUGUGAAAGCCCGGGGCUUAACCCCGGGUCUGCAUUCGAUACGGGCAGGCUAGAGUUCGGUAGGGGAGAUCGGAAUUCCUGGUGUAGCGGUGAAAUGCGCAGAUAUCAGGAGGAACACCGGUGGCGAAGGCGGAUCUCUGGGCCGAUACUGACGCUGAGGAGCGAAAGCGUGGGGAGCGAACAGGAUUAGAUACCCUGGUAGUCCACGCCGUAAACGUUGGGAACUAGGUGUGGGCGACAUUCCACGUCGUCCGUGCCGCAGCUAACGCAUUAAGUUCCCCGCCUGGGGGAGUACGGA